GCCUUAGUAACUGCGAGUGAAGCGGCAAAAGCUCAAAUUUGAAAUCGGCGUCCUUUUCGGGCAUCGAGUUGUAAUUUGGAGGGAUAACUUCGGUACGGACUACAUCGUAAGUUCCUUGGAACAGGACGUCAUAGAGGGUGAGAAUCCCGUGUCUUGGUGUUUGGCCGUGCCAUGUGAAGUGUCUCCGACGAGUCGAGUUGUUUGGGAAUGCAGCUCAAAAUGGGUGGUAAAUUUCAUCUAAAGCUAAAUAUUGGCGAGAGACCGAUAGCGCACAAGUAGAGUGAUCGAAAGAUGAAAAGCACUUUGAAAAGAGAGUUAAAAAGUACGUGAAAUUGUUGAAAGGGAAGCGCUUGCGACCAGACUCGAUCUUUGGUGAUCAGCCGGGCUUCGGUCCGGUGCCCUCACCAUUGAUUGGGCCAGCAUCGGUUCUGACGGCGGGAUAAAAGGAGGAGGAAUGUGGCUCCCUUCGGGGAGUGUUAUAGCCUCCUUCACAAUGCCGCCAGUUGGGACCGAGGACCGCGCUUCGGCUAGGAUGCUGGCGUAAUGGUCUUAAGCGACCCGUCUUGAAACACGGACCAAGGAGUCUAACAUCUAUGCGAGUGUUCGGGUGGAAAACCCUUGCGCGUAAUGAAAGUGAACGGAGGUGUGAACCCUUUACCGGGUGCAACAUCGACCGGUCCUGAUGUCUUCGGAAGGAUCUGAGUAAGAGCAUAGCUGUUGGGACCCGAAAGAUGGUGAACUAUGCCUGAAUAGGGUGAAGCCAGAGGAAACUCUGGUGGAGGCUCGCAGCGGUUCUGACGUGCAA
rnacentral:rRNA from 1 species